GACUUCUCGGUUAUUGCAGCUCUAUCUCUCUCCUCACCCACCAUCUCUAUCUUUCUUCAUUUACGGUGGCCACCUCCAAGCCGGGAUGCCACCGCCGUAUUCCAGAAGUCGUCGCUGCCCAUUUCUCAUUUCUUGUUCAGCCUCAUCAUCUCUCCCUGCGUGGAUGAGAUGCCGCGGGUGGAUCUGAUCGUCGAGGCUCUUCAGAUCUAUCUGAUCCGCCCUCACGAAUCCGCCGCCGGUGUGGACGUUCCCUCCACCAUUUCUCCGGAAAGCGCAGAUGCAACGUCAGUGGAGCUUACGGUGGGAACGCGCAAUAAGCGACGACCUUCAACAACGAAAAGAUCUGAGGCAAAAAUUCUCUUCCUCGUCUGAUUUUUGGCAAAUGCCCCAAAACAUUGAGAAAACGGUUGACAAAUCGAAGGGAGUCGUGCAGCUAUUCAAAUUUCUAAAUGAAAAAGAACAUGUACGAAAAAGUUUGAAAGGAACAGCUAGAGAUGCUGAGGACAACAGUAACACGAUUGUAAGCAAAGUGAGCUAAUAAGUCCGGAUAGUCCUAUUGAUGGGACUCCUAGACCUGCAUUUCAUUCGUCCUGCAAAGUUUUUACUGCUUCUGAUACCAGCACACAUGGUGGAUUUUCUGUCUUUCAUAAACAUGCAAAUGAGUGUCUUCCCCCAUUGAAUAUGAGCCAACAGAUUCUGAGCUUCCGACACAGGAAUUGAUUGCUAGGGAUACACAUGGAAAUGAAUGGCAAUUGAAACAUAUAUUUAGAGGUGAGAUACUGUGUUUGUUUUCUAGUAAUUGUUUACUUUUGGUGUCACUGAUGUUGUAUUGUUGUUUUGAGACUAUAUAAAGAAAUCUAUUCACCUUGACCUUGUAGCAGGCAUGGAAAUAGUAGCUCUCCGGGCAUGAUACUAAUAGAUAGUAAUUAUAGAUGUAAUAUAUUAGGUAAAUCUGAGCUUCAUCAGUAAUAAAUCUGAGAAAUUCUGCAAAAUCAUUCCCACAAUAUCAUUUCCCAUUAAUAUUAAAGUUUACUCUCAUAUUUUGUAGAGGAAAAGAAUGGGGUUUUAAGAGUAUAAAACGACUAAAAUUGGUGUUGUGCACUAAAGGUAAUUUUGUAAUUACUUACCCUUAGAAUAGUAACUUAAUAUGUAUGCCAAACUUUGCUAAUAUCUGUGAUAAUGUGAUUUGGUGUCAAUAUGGGUGUAUCUGUUUUUAAGCAUGCAUCAAAUUCUGAAAAAUAAGAAUUAAAUUUGCACGAAUCAUGUGCUUUUAAAUGCAUUCAUGCAAGCUUGCAAUAUAUAUGACCAUGCUUGGCUGAUCUUUAGAAGUUUGUGGUUUGGUCCCAAAAUAGAUAAUAUUCUUAAGGGAUAACUGCCUUAAAAGUCAGGAACUUUACCCGAAUUCCGGUUUUUCCCACGAGCCAUUUUUUUGGCGUAUAAAGUCACGAACUUUACUUUUUGUUUGGUAUUUCCCAACCCGACCCGACCCUGUGAUUUCCGGCAAUUUAAAAUCCUAUGUGGCAUGCCUGAAUUCCGACGUGUCAGGCAUCGGAAAAAAUCAAAACGACGUCGUUUCUGAUGGAUAAAACGACGUCGUUUUAUACAUCAUCAUUCAAAAUUAGGUUAUAUCGCCCAAAUCAAACGCUAUUCACUCCUCCUCUCUCGCUCGAUUCAUCCACCCCCAACCAUUUUACAUUCUUGGAUUCAAGUCGCGAUUCAUCCACCCCCAUUGGAAGCGAAAAUCCCGUAACAAGGAUGUCGAGUUCUUCCCAGCAUUCGAGCAGAACGUGGCCGAGGUUUGAGGCAGUGGUCUGUGAUCACGGUCUUGAAGCUGAUGUGGUGACAUCCAAUACGGAUGCCAAUCCCGGACGACGCUUCUAUCGUUGCCAAGUCUGGAAGGAGGACGACUGUAAAUUCUUUCGUUGGAUUGAUCCAUCAUUGUCACCGAAUCAAGAGUAUUUUUUCAAAAAACUGAAGCUUGAUAGGGACAACGUGCAAAGAGCAUUGAGAGAUAGGGUUGCUAAGACACUCGACGAGAGCGUCCGUUCAAAAACCGUUGAAGUUGAAGCACUCCAAGGUGUUGUCGCACAGUUGCAGCGUCAAAACCGGAACUUGAAGGUGUCAUUUGCAUGUUAUGUAUCGUCUUGUGGAUCUUGUUGUAGCUUAGCUAACAUAACUUCGGAUCUUGUUGUAGCUUAGCUAACAUAACUUCUAUGUAAUGAUCUAUGCAUGUUGAACUCCAAUGUAAUACACUCCUAUGUAGUGAAUUUUCCUCUAUGAAUGCAUUGAGUUUUGAGUUCAAAA